CCUACGGGGUGCUGCAGUAGGGAAUAUUGCUCAAUGGGGGAAACCCUGAAGCAGCAACGCCGCGUGGAGGAUGAAGGUUUUCGGAUUGUAAACUCCUUUUGUUAGAGAAGAUAAUGACGGUAUCUAACGAAUAAGCACCGGCUAACUCCGUGCCAGCAGCCGCGGUAAUACGGGGGGUGCAAGCGUUACUCGGAAUCACUGGGCGUAAGGAGCGCGUAGGCGGGAUAGCAAGUCAGAUGUGAAAUCCUAUGGCUUAACCAUAGAACUGCAUUUGAAACUGUUAUUCUAGAGUAUGGGAGAGGUAGGUGGAAUUCUUGGUGUAGGGGUAAAAUCCGUAGAGAUCAAGAGGAAUACUCAUUGCGAAGGCGACCUGCUAGAACAUAACUGACGCUGAUGCGCGAAAGCGUGGGGAGCAAACAGGAUUAGAUACCCUUGUAGUC
rnacentral:rRNA from 1 species